UACGUAGGGUGCAAGCGUUGUCCGGAAUUAUUGGGCGUAAAGAGCUUGUAGGCGGUUUGUCGCGUCUGCUGUGAAAUUCCGAGGGCUUAACCCUGGGCUUGCAGUGGGUACGGGCAGACUAGAGUGUGGUAGGGGAGACUGGAAUUCCUGGUGUAGGCGGUGAAAUGCGCAGAUAUCAGGAGGAACACCGAUGGCGAAGGCAGGUCUCUGGGCCACUACUGACGCUGAGAAGCGAAAGCAUGGGGAGCGAACAGG
rnacentral:rRNA from 1 species